GAUGAACGCUGGCGGCGUGCCUAAUACAUGCAAGUCGAGCGAAUGGAUUAAGAGCUUGCUCUUAUGAAGUUAGCGGCGGACGGGUGAGUAACACGUGGGUAACCUGCCCAUAAGACUGGGAUAACUCCGGGAAACCGGGGCUAAUACCGGAUAAUAUUUUGAACUGCGUGGUUCAAAAUUGAAAGGCGGCUUCGGCUGUCACUUAUGGAUGGACCCGCGUCGCGUUAGCUAGUUGGUGAGGUAACGGCUCACCAAGGCAACGAUGCGUAGCCGACCUAGGAGGGUGAUCGGCCACACUGGGACUGAGACACGGCCCAGACUCCUACGGGAGGCAGCAGUAGGGAAUCUUCCGCAAUGGACGAAAGUCUGACGGAGCAACGCCGCGUGAGUGAUGAAGGCUUUCGGGUCGUAAAACUCUGUUGUUAGGGAAGAACAAGUGCUAGUUGAAUAAGCUGGCACCUUGACGGUACCUAACCAGAAAGCCACGGCUAACUACGUGCCAGCCGCCGCGGUAA
rnacentral:rRNA from 1 species